rnacentral:tRNA from 1 species
GCCUAGUUAACUUAGUUGGUAGUGGUGCCUUGUAAGCGCUAGGCCGCGGGUUCGAUUCCCGC